CGCCUAGGACACCAGAAUA
rnacentral:snRNA from 1 species